UACGUAGGGUGCGAGCGUUGUCCGGAAUUAUUGGGCGUAAAGAGCUCGUAGGCGGUCUGUCGCGUCGAUCGUGAAAACUUGGGGCUUAACCCUGAGCUUGCGGUCGAUACGGGCAUGACUGGAGUUCGGCAGGGGAGACUGGAAUUCCUGGUGUAGCGGUGAAAUGCGCAGAUAUCAGGAGGAACACCGGUGGCGAGGGCGGGUCUCUGGGCCGAUACUGACGCUGAGGAGCGAAAGCGUGGGGAGCGAACAGG
rnacentral:rRNA from 1 species